rnacentral:rRNA from 1 species
UACGGGGGGGGCAAGCGUUGUUCGGAUUUACUGGGCGUAAAGAGCGCGCAGGCGGUCGUUCAAGUCGCGUGUGAAAGCCCCCGGCUCAACUGGGGAGGGUCACGCGAUACUGAUCGACUCGAAGGCAGGAGAGGGUAGUGGAAUUCCCGGUGUAGUGGUGAAAUGCGUAGAUAUCGGGAGGAACACCAGUGGCGAAGGCGACUACCUGGCCUGUUCUUGACGCUGAGGCGCGAAAGCUAGGGGAGCAAACGGG